CCUACGGGAGGCAGCAGUGAGGAAUAUUGGUCAAUGGGCUUACGCCUGAACCAGCCAAGUCGCGUGAGGGAAGACUGCCCUAUGGGUUGUAAACCUCUUUUGUCAGGGAGCAACGCCGGCUACGUGUAGCCGGACUGAGAGUACCUGAAGAAAAAGCAUCGGCUAACUCCGUGCCAGCAGCCGCGGUAAUACGGAGGAUGCGAGCGUUAUCCGGAUUGAUUGGGUUUAAAGGGUGCGUAGGCGGAAUGCCAAGUCAGCGGUAAAAUCGCGGGGCUCAACCUCGCUCCGCCGUUGAAACUGGCGUUCUUGAGUGGGCGAGAAGUAUGCGGAAUGCGGGGUGUAGCGGUGAAAUGCAUAGAUAUCACGCAGAACUCCGAUUGCGAAGGCAGCAUACCGGCGCCCAACUGACGCUGAAGCACGAAAGCGUGGGUAUCGAACAGGAUUAGAUACCCCAGUAGUC
rnacentral:rRNA from 1 species